AGGAGCCGUGUGAGGUGAAAGUCUCAUGCACGGUUUUGGAGACGAGUAGGCUGGGUGACUGGCUUGCUUAGUUUAAC
rnacentral:ncRNA from 2 species